GUAGGUGGCAAGCGUUGUCCGGAAUUAUUGGGCGUAAAGCGCGCGCAGGCGGUUCUUUAAGUCUGAUGUGAAAGCCCACGGCUCAACCGUGGAGGGUCAUUGGAAACUGGAGAACUUGAGUACAGAAGAGGAAAGCGGAAUUCCACGUGUAGCGGUGAAAUGCGUAGAGAUGUGGAGGAACACCAGUGGCGAAGGCGGCUUUCUGGUCUGUAACUGACGCUGAGGCGCGAAAGCGUGGGGAGCAAACAGGAUUAGAUACCCUGGUAGUCAACGCCGUAAACGAUGAGUGCUAAGUGUUAGGGGGGUUUUCCGCCCCCCUUAGUGCUGCAGCUAACGCAUUAAGCACUCCGCCUGGGAGUACGGCCGCAAGGCUG
rnacentral:rRNA from 1 species